UACGUAGGGCGCAAGCGUUAUCCGGAAUUAUUGGGCGUAAAGAGCUCGUAGGCGGUUUGUCGCGUCUGCCGUGAAAGUCCGGGGCUCAACUCCGGAUCUGCGGUGGGUACGGGCAGACUAGAGUGAUGUAGGGGAGACUGGAAUUCCUGGUGUAGCGGUGAAAUGCGCAGAUAUCAGGAGGAACACCGGUGGCGAAGGCGGUCUGCUGGGGUCGAACUGACGCUGAGGCGCGACAGCGUGGGGAGCAAACAGG
rnacentral:rRNA from 1 species